rnacentral:rRNA from 1 species
GCGUUAUCCGGAUUCACUGGGUUUAAAGGGUGCGUAGGUGGGAAUGUAAGUCAGUGGUGAAAUCUCCGUGCUUAACAUGGAAACUGCCAUUGAUACUAUGUUUCUUGAAUUUUCCGGAGGUAAGCGGAAUAUGUCAUGUAGCGGUGAAAUGCUUAGAUAUGACAUAGAACACCAAUUGCGAAGGCAGCUUACUACAGGAACAUUGACACUGAGGCACGAAAGCGUG